GUUGUUGAGAAUGUUUUGAGGUAGAGAGGAGAAGUAGAAAUCGAUAAAGGCGAAGAAGGAAUCGCAAGGAAGGAAGAAACUUGAGAGGAAGAUCAUGAUCCUAGCUGUGUUGUUCGCCAAUUCCGUUGGGAAUGUUUUAAUCGAAAGG
rnacentral:sRNA from 1 species